ACGCUGGCGGCAGGCCUAACACAUGCAAGUCGAGCGGUAACAUUUCAAAAGCUUGCUUUUGAAGAUGACGAGCGGCGGACGGGUGAGUAAUGCCUAGGAAAUUGCCCUGAUGUGGGGGAUAACCAUUGGAAACGAUGGCUAAUACCGCAUGAUGCCUACGGGCCAAAGAGGGGGACCUUCGGGCCUCUCGCGUCAGGAUAUGCCUAGGUGGGAUUAGCUAGUUGGUGAGGUAAUGGCUCACCAAGGCGACGAUCCCUAGCUGGUCUGAGAGGAUGAUCAGCCACACUGGAACUGAGACACGGUCCAGACUCCUACGGGAGGCAGCAGUGGGGAAUAUUGCACAAUGGGCGCAAGCCUGAUGCAGCCAUGCCGCGUGUAUGAAGAAGGCCUUCGGGUUGUAAAGUACUUUCAGUCGUGAGGAAGGGGGURUYGUUAAUAGCRGYAUYMUUUGACGUUAGCGACAGAAGAAGCACCGGCUAACUCCGUGCCAGCAGCCGCGGUAAUACGGAGGGUGCGAGCGUUAAUCGGAAUUACUGGGCGUAAAGCGCAUGCAGGUGGUUCGUUAAGUCAGAUGUGAAAGCCCGGGGCUCAACCUCGGAACUGCAUUUGAAACUGGCGGACUAGAGUACUGUAGAGGGGGGUAGAAUUUCAGGUGUAGCGGUGAAAUGCGUAGAGAUCUGAAGGAAUACCGGUGGCGAAGGCGGCCCCCUGGACA
rnacentral:rRNA from 1 species